rnacentral:rRNA from 1 species
UACGGAGGGGGCUAGCGUUGUUCGGAAUUACUGGGCGUAAAGCGCACGUAGGCGGCUUUGUAAGUUAGAGGUGAAAGCCCGGGGCUCAACUCCGGAAUUGCCUUUAAGACUGCAUCGCUAGAAUUGUGGAGAGGUAAGUGGAAUUCCGAAGUGUAGAGGUGAAAUUCGUAGAUAUUCGGAAGAACACCAGUGGCGAAGGCGGCUAACUGGUCCGAUACUGACGCUGAGGUGCGAAAGCGUGGGGAGCAAACAGG